rnacentral:rRNA from 1 species
CUACGGGCGGCAGCAGUGAGGAAUAUUGCACAAUGGGGGGAACCCUGAUGCAGCAACGCCGCGUGGAGGAUGACGCAUUUCGGUGUGUAAACUCCUUUUAUAUGUCAAGAAAAUGACGGUAGCAUAUGAAUAAGCACCGGCUAACUCCGUGCCAGCAGCCGCGGUAAUACGGAGGGUGCAAGGGUUACUCGGAAUCACUGGGCGUAAAGGACGCGUAGGCGGGUUGGAAAGUCAGGUGUGAAAUCCUACAGCUUAACUGUAGAACUGCACUUGAAACUUCUAAUCUAGAGUAUGGGAGGGGGAGAUGGAAUUAGUGGUAUAGGGGUAAAAUCCGUAGAUAUCACUAGGAAUACCUGAAGCGAAGGCGAUCUCCUGGAACAUUACUGACGCUAAGGCGUGAAAGCGUGGGGAGCAAACAGGAUUAGAUACCCGGGUAGUC